CACGGUCCUAUAUAAAACAAUAGGCACAGGAUAAAGAAACAAUAGAACCACAGCAGCAACAAAACCUCUUAAAAUAAGGUCUGGCUGGCCACAAUGAUAGCAGUUUUCCGAGACCUUCAAGUCUAAAGCAACUGCUGUUUAACUCUUUCCUCACUGCCAGAAAUGUGCUCACUUUCAGUGCUUUUAUGUUUUAUCAUUUUAUUUUAGGACAUUUGGGUCAUAACA
rnacentral:lncRNA from 1 species